ensembl:lncRNA
GUAUGCUAGAUCAUAGUAGCCUGCUGAAUCCAAGAACUCAAAACUAACAGUAUGAACAAGAUCUGGACAUGCAGUAUGCAAAUUGAAUUCAACACAGAUUUUAUGGCCACAUUUGCGCCAUUACCCAAUUAACCUUUAUUGAACUGGAUGUUAAAACAACACAGACAGCAUAUGCAAAUAAACAGUGUUGCCAGUGGCACAGUUCAUUCUCUUUGAAUUGCCCUAUGAUGCUGUUUAAACCCUACCUUAAUCAUUCUUACUGCCCAACAUUAUAUUUCUAAAAAAUCAAUAGCCCUGAUUUCUCCGUUUAAAAUUGAGCCGAAAUGGAAAUUAAUGCUCUCAUGUGAUGCUUAGCUUUUGUCGUCAACAGGUUGUGGCGGCUUUGCAUAAUAAAUUGCAGGGCUUAGCAGACAUGGCCAAUUGAUUAGCAAAUUAAGAAGUGUUCGGUUAUGUGUGCACAGACAAAGGCGGGUUUGGUGCCUGGCAAUAGCUGUCGAAGAUUUUGACUGAUUGUUAUUAUUAGUGAAUUUCAGUCACGCAGCACGAUUUAUCAGCACCGCUGUAGCAUCCAGCUGACAGGACCUCUUCCUCUCCAGAAACACAACAUUAGCGGUGGAUCUGCACCUCCGUCUGACUCACCCUGUCUCUCCCUCCUGCAGGGCCUCACGUGAGGCGAACAGACUGAAUGAACGCUGCUGCCAGAAUACUUCUGCUCUAUUCUCAUAUCCAUGCCAUAAUGUUUGCCGUCUGAAAGAAAGAGCCCAGGUGCAGUGACAUUCUGCUGGUUUACCAUGAGCAUCAGAAUUGCCCAAUCAAGGCAGUGCUCCAGCUGACAGACCUGGUGAGGAAAUUACUAACACUUGAGCAACAGAUGGCUUUGGCCUCCACACAGUCUGAGUGGCCAUCAUGGAUGCUCCAUUUGGGAGGGUUUUGGAGGAAUUCGCUCUGUGCCGCCAGCGCUGGCUUUCUAAUACAGACUGUGGUUACAGUUUCAUCAGCGAGGGUACACAGGUGCCCAGAUGGGAACAUGCAGAGAGCAGUAAAUCAUGGACCUGUUGUGAGUGAAGAAAAGAGAGGCAACUCUUAGUAUCCAAUGAAAAGAGGUUGUUUUUGACGAGUGUGAAAGGAAAACCAGUCUUUUCAGAGUAGAGUUAUAAAAUGGAAAGGAGGGAUAGAGGCUUGCACUACAUCAGUUAAUGGACUGUGUGUAGUGAGUCAUAAGCUUCAGAAGAAAAUUGACAUGAAAAUACCAAUAACUAGGUGUACUCAGUCAGGUCCUCUGGUGAUCUGCAUAUACUGUAGACUGUCAACAGACAAACACAGUAAAUUGUCCCUUUGCUUAUGAACCUACAGUAAAUAUGUAUAAUGUGUCAAGUAUGUCUACUUAAGAUCUCAAACAGAAUGUGGGUAGAUUUUAGGUAUAUUAAAUGUCAUUAUUUCUCUAACCUUAUGCUCUGUACCCGUGGUCUGUUUAUGUGCAAGAGAAACCUGUCACAUCUUUCACUGCAGUGAAUGUAUAUAUCUCAUGGUAGGUUUAUUUUUGAAAGUCAAUUUCUGUAUCGGCACAUAUCUAAACGUCCAGACUGAAAAAAAUGCUACUGAAUAUUUCCAGUGUUAUUGCCCAAGAGAAAAUAAAACAGUGACCUACUGUGACCCAAUAGCAGGCCGUGUUGUCACAAUGAAACCUGUUUAUUAAAUAGUUUAUUAUUCAGCAAAAUUUAUACAAUAAACAGUUUGGAUAAAAUUUUAUCUAGGUUUUAGAAACCAAUUUUACAAACCACUGCUAGAAAAACACAGUUCUAAUUGGACAGUAAACUUUGGAUAACAAAUAGAAGCAUGAUUCUGGUU